rnacentral:lncRNA from 1 species
GAACAAGUGGGAUUUUUUUACAUCUUUGAAAGUGUUUGUCUCCACCACAGGACCGGAUGCCAGACCUUAGAUUCCAGCUCCUUUCGGGGUCAUUUCCCUCUUGGAAUCAGGAUCAAGGUGGGCAGAGCCUACGGUCAGGCCACAGUACACUCUUGGGAGAGGCAGCUUGGAUUACUUUAGCACAAGGGACUUUCCAAAACCAAAGUUAUUAGGAAAAGCAGAAUGGAGAAUAUUUGGAAAAAAUGCUGUUAACACCUGAUCCACACGUUCUUUCCUUCCCCUGUGCUGCUCAUAAUCACUUACAGACGCUGAGAUUAUUAUGAAAUGGAGUACAGGCUUCCACCUCCAUCACUGACACUCCUUCUUUUGGUGAACCACAAGAAGAUUGGCAUUCUGGUUGUGAGCCCUGCCCAUCACAGGAGAUCUGGCAACCAAAAAACAGCAACACAAAGGGACCGAGACGCCUCUCUUGUAUGAGGUCUUGUCAUGCCAAGUGUAUGGGAUUUGGAGUCAGCCUGGUCACAGUUUGAACCCUUGUUACACCAUUUUGAGACUGCGGACCUCAGAGAAUCUGUUUCCUCUUCUGUAAAAUGAGGUGACUAUUCCUCUUCUGUAAAAUGAGGUGACUAUUCCUAUCUAGCUUGGGGUACAGUAAGAUUAAAUAAUGCAUGUCAGAUGCCUGGCACCUAGCGGGGAUCCAGCUCAUCUAGAACCUUCCCCGCUCUUUCCCCUCGCUUGUGUGGCAGGAGUGGUCUUGGGCAUCAUGAAAUCAUUCGACCCCAAACUGUCUCCCCGGCAGGAGUUUGUUUUGCUUUCUUGAAAUCGGCCAUCAUUCAAUUCCUCUGCCAGAGUCCAUGUUAGCCUGAGACCAACUGGAAAUUUUUUGCCUCUGAGAAAGGAAACCAGAGAGACUCCUCCGUGAGCUCCGGAGGAAGAGACGCCAGCCUUCUGACUUCUCAAAGCAUGUUAUUCGCAUCACUACCUACUCAGGCCACACGGGGGAGCCGCGGGCCGGGCAAAGGCGAGUCCGCGCGCCCGCCCAGCGCACACCUGCCCGGCGGUGGCGGAUGCCGGCUGCGGGCUCCCAGCGUGGGCCAAGAGUCCUCACUCGGCGAGUUACACUGAAAUCAAAAUGAAGCAGAAAGAUGUGGCUUUAAAAAGAGAAAAACAUUUUCAAGUCACGUGCUUUUUUCUUCGCUUCCCUCUUAUCGUGAAAUCUGAGAAAUGUCAAACAAGAAAGGAAUGAAGUAAAUCAGGAUUACAGUUUAAUUCGAAGGCAGGUGGUGGGGGGUGAAGGGGAGGGAAGGAGGGAGGGAGGAAGGAAGCAGGAAGGAAGGAUGGACGGAUGAAUGGGUCUAUCCUAGGAUCCUUCUGUUGGUGUGAAGUUGGGAGUGACUCGGGUUAAGCAGAAAUGGGAUUAUGCGAACCCUCAGUCACGUGUCUGGGAAAAGGAUCUCUUGAAAGACUGGAGGUUUUAACAAAUAAGGAUUUGCCCGCAUUCGUGUACUUUUCGGCACUAUUUUCUCAAAACAGCAGACACCUGUGGGACUGAAUUGUUCACUAAUCCUCAAAGAAUAAAAGCAACCUAGAAGCAUUUAAAGGGCAGUUAAGAUAACAGCCUGAACUUGGACAAGCAGGUGGCCAGUUCCUUAAGCAAAUACUUAGACACCUAACUAAACACUACCUCUCUUUUUUUCCUUGACUUAAGCAUUUCAAACCAAGCCCCCACCACCUUCCUGAGCCAGGGUCCGCAGGAGCUCCAGGGCCACUACACAUGGUGUUGCCCUGCCCUAGAUAAUCAGUAAGUAUUCACUGAAUCAAUAAGCACUUUAAUAAAUGAUCCUCUCUUCAAAUCAUCAUUAACCUUAAUCCUUAGCAUGAAGGAAAUAAUGAAAUAAUGGUUAUUAUAAGUUAGGUCUCAAGAAUUCAAGCAUACAUGAAACAUGCCAUGCAAAUCAUAUUAGUGUGUAGUUGUUACAACUAGAACACUCAACCAAGUCACACGUUCCAAAAAGCUCCAAUCCUAAUAAUGCUCCAUGCCUAUAACCCCUUUGAGCUAUUCCCCUGUCACCAGCAGCCUUCCCCCUUUAUAGAUUUAAUCUUUUCAUUCAUCCCUUCAUGAAGUAAAUCCUGUAUUGAAAACUCCAAGCUGCUCACAAAUAAGAUAAGCCACUAGAGGUAUGAAAGUGAUUGUCAGUUACUCAAUCUAAUGGGGAAAUCAAAUAAAUGACAGUGGGAUCGUCCAACAGAUCAGGUGGAAGGGCUACAGGAGGAGUGUGGUGAUGGGAUGUCACAGGAGUUUUACAGAGAAGGUGACUUUUGAGCUGUGUCAUCAGGAAACAGUAAGACUUUGCUAGUUGGAAAAAGUCACAAGUAAUAACUGCAGUUUCCCAAUUCAUAAUGUUUAAAAAGCAUGGGUUUUUGAGUCACACAGUCCUUAGACACUUGACAAGAUAAGGCAUUAAUAGCAGAGGUUCAUUUGGCUUUUUCACAGUGAUAAAUUCAUUUAUUUUUAAAAUAUUUUGGCACUCCCCUUUAGUUCUACAAAUGUACUGAUACUAUACUACAGUUAUCAGUGAAGCAACAGCAUGUAGGAGUGGGAUCCAUGGGUUCACCUAAUACCUUAAAUAUCUGCCAUAAUCUCUUGGUAGUCCUUCCCUCAUCAGUGAUGAAUAAGUGGGAAACAAAAUUAUUACACAACCCAUAGUGUUCAUAAGAGAAACCAAACCAGUUCUUUGCUUCAUUCAUUCACUUAUUCAUUGACUCAGACAUUAAUAUUAAUUGCUGAUUAUGUUGCAAGCCUUGUCUAAGGUUACUACCCCUAAGGAGCUCCCAGAUUGGUGUAGACCACAGAACAAAACCAGGUAACUCAAGUGUGUUACCAGGUGACACCAGCAUAGUGAGGACAUGAAACGGCCAAGCUGGUGAGCACAGAGGGGCACAGCAGAGAGGGACCCUAAUCCAGACCUGUGGCAUCAGAGAAAACUUCCUGGAGGAGGUCUUUCUGAGCUGCUUCUUGAAGAGUGCUGUACUUUCCUCUAAUCUGGUCUGGAGGGCUCUCCCUGGAGAGGGGUUAUAAAUUCUAGUCCUGCCCUGAUGGGGCUACAGGAAAGGCGGUCAUGAGUAUUUACAGUGUGCCUUUCAUGGGAUACUACUUUACCCUGGUCAAUGGCCUCAUGCCUAAGUGUCUGACUCAUGACCAGGUGUCCCUCUCACAGGAAACUUGUUUAUAUUGGCAGACACCCUUGUGGCUCUUGUCUGACCUGUGUCCAGUGCAUUCUUACCAAGAUAGCCACUCUGUAGGAGAGCUCUGACGGGGAGAAGAGUUAGGUUCGACUGUGUCCGUGGGGUGAGACACAGAGGAGGCAGUGCAACAAACACAUUAAAUAACAAAAGCAGUGCAUUACCUACAGACCCAGAGAGAAGAGGGCAGCACGCCUUGCCUCACAGGGCCAGUGGGAUGAGAAGAGCUGUCCAGGACACAUGCACUCAACCAAGGAGUGGGGAGCAAGAGAGAGAGAACCUGUGGGACUAAAGCCUUUACUGGGGACCAGGGCAUUACCCAGUUUCCCGUGGGUAAUUCUACUUGGUGGGUUUGGAGCAAGCAGGUCCAUGUCUCAUGCAGUCACACUGGGACUGGUCACUAUGGCAUAUCUGCACAGUCCAUGUUAGGUACGUGGGUCAGUAAGGUGAUUCAAGUAGGCUGCAUUGGGAGGUGGUCCCAUAGGGAGGUGGUCACCAGGAGGCAGUUGUAUAAGGCAAUGUAUAAGUCCAUUUUCAUGCUGCUGAUAAAGACAUACUUGAGACUGGAUAAUUUAUAAAGAAAAAGAGGUUUAAUGGACCCACAGUUCCACAUGGCUGGGGAGGCCUCACAAUCAUGGUAGAAGGUGAAAGACAUGUCUUACAUGGUGGCAGUCAAGAGAGAAUGAGAGCCAAGUGAAAGGGGUUUCCCCUUAUAAAAUCAUCAGAUCUCGUGAGUCUUAUUCACUACCAUGAGAACAGUAUGGGGGAACCGCCCCCAUGAUUCAAUUAUCUCCCACUGUGUCCCUCCCACAACACAUGAAAAUUAUGGGAGCUACAAUUCAAGAUGAGAUUUGGGUGGGGACACAGCCAAACCAUUAUCAGGCAGAUAUCUGGAUUGACCAGGUUGAGGAACUGGGAGGAAGUGUAGAACUGGAAACUCUGUCAAGGGUGACUGAGCCCUGCUUCUGGUAUGAAAGAGUUUAAGUUUCAGUCAAAGUAGAUGCUGCAGCAAUGUAAAAUUAUGAGUUCAUGACAAGGAGGAAAGUCAAAGGCCAGCCAGAGAGAAUGGCAUGUUCCACUGCCUGGAAGCAAAAGAGCCCACUGUGCCAAUGGUUAGUCUGACUGGAGUAUAGAGCUCCAGGCAUGGCAAGUGGUGGCUGAAAAUGAACCUAGAGAGAGGCGUGAAGGGCUCAGAAGUUGCUGAAGAACUUGGAAUGCAGCCAAGGAAUGGUUUUAAGCAGAAAAGCGAUAAGAUCAAAUCUGUCUUUUGAACUUCACCCUGGCUUUAGUAUAGAGACAGGUAUAACAGAAGGCAAGAAGACAGAUUAGAAACCUUUUGCAAUAAUGUGCGAGAAAAACACAACUGAUCUUGGCUAAUCAACAAAGUCCCAGUCUAAGUUAGAGGGCCAGAAUGAUGAUUUGGAUUCAGUUUAACUGGCCACUGCUUGGGUCUGCUGAAGAGCUAGCAAAGAAACUAGCAGGGAGGCACAGUGUAAAAAUGAUAGACGUAACCAAAUUUCUUGUGGAUGCAGCUGUCGUAUUCAGGGGAGGAGGGUCCCCUCUCUGGAGGUGGAGGGAAGACUUUGAAUAAUGCCCAGAUGCAUUAUUUGAAUCAGCAAAAAGAGCCCACCUCUUCCCUGGCUGGACUCUGGACUCUGUUUCUUUCCAUCAUAUUAGGCUUAGGGCAGGCCUGACAUGGUCGGUCUCAGUGUUGGAACCCUGAACUGAUGUCAUGGAAAAAGGGCCGGUGAAAGGUAGGAAGAUUAAAGAUGUUGAGAAAAAUGUCAAUAGGAUAGGGUGAUGAAUUGCACCUGAGCAGUGAGCAGAAGGGAGGAGUUCUGCAAGGUGUCUGGAUUGGUUGAGCGCUGUUUUCUAAUUCAGGAGAAAGGGGGAGAAAAGAGUUCAUAGCAAUUAACACUAUACGCCAGCCAGUUUACAUAUUUUGACUUACUGAAAUCUCAUAACACUUCUGAAGGGGAUCGUAGUAUCCUCAUCCUAGAGUUGAGCAGCAAGGCUCAGGGGGGCCAAGGGAAGUGUCUGUGCUCAUAGGGAGCUGCAGAGUCAGCUUCAGGAAUCCACAAUCUCUCUGGAAAGCUACAUCAACACUUCUCUUGUCUCUCACAGUUGGGCCUUCUGGUAUUUUUAUGCUCAACUUCUUAACUUCUCUGAAAAAAGCACGGUCUCCUGUAGUAAGCAGAAAACAAUCUUCCACUCACUGAACUAAGCUGCUGACUUUUUACCUCAUCACUUUUUUAGAAGUUCAAGGGAUAUUUCUUGUUUAUCAGCUGCUCCAGUACAAGUUCAUCUAACAGAACACGUCAGCUCUGUGUGCAAUCUGAGCUUCACAUGCAGCUUCCUGCCAAUGAGCUAAUUUUGUGGCAUGGUUUUAGAAACAGAAGAGUUACUUUGAUGUUUUGGAAUAGUUAAGCCUCUUGGAGAUACGAGCAUGACUUUUCCUUUAUCCACAAACUGCUAUUUGCAAGACAGUGGAACCUCUUGGAAACCAACGAGUAUCUUCAUAGAUUCAUAUCUAAGUACUUUUCUGAGAUUAUGAGAAAAAUACAUAUUCCACGUGAUUUAGGUCAUUAUUUCUAAUAAGGGGACAGUUAGAGCACUGCUUCUCUGCUUUGGUUUCUUCAGCCAUGACACCUGAGAAAAUUAAUGGAAGUGAUAAAUCCAAGAGAAUGUGGCCUCCAGGGAACAGAAAUCCAAUCAAGAAAUGACUAUUUGACAGGUUGUAUUAUUAUUCAUCUGAUGACUCUUAUUUCUAGAUAUACAAUGAAGAAUGUCAAAGAAAAGGUAGCAAGCUACCCAAUUCAUGCAAUAAAAGCAAAUGUAAACCUUAUAACUAAACGAUAAAUACAGCAGUCUUGUUUCAACAUUAUCAUUAUAGUGGACAAUAUAAACGUUAUGUACCAGGCACAGUUCUAAACCUCUUCAAUAAAUUGUCUUACUUAAACCUUAUAAUGAUCAGUAAGAAAACUAUAUUCCCAUUUUACAGAUAUGGACACUGAGGCCAAGAAAAGUUCAUUUGCAAAUGACAAGAAGAUGAUUAGAAUUUGGGCAGUCUGGCUUCAGAGCCUGUGGCUGUCAUCUUAAAUACUACUAGGAAUAAACUCAGUUAUGUAUUUUAAGGGUAGCCUGGUUGACCCCAAGGGUAGCCUAGUUUAUCUUGGUCUUGAUAGACUUUUGCCUUUCCUACUAACAAAGUGUUGAUAAAAGAUUCUUAAGUCAUUUCGUGACAUGGCAAGGGAGAGAAAACAAAGUAUCCUCUACCACUGUUCUCCCUCAACCCCUCCACACCCCAGCUCUGCAACUUAACAAGAAUAAACUUAUUGUUAACCCCUACAAUCUUCAUCAGUCCUUACGGUGGUUUUAUGGCCUAGCUCUUACAACAAAAGAUGAAGCCAGAAGAGCACCUUUUACUCUUUGAGGAACUGUCCUUUCCCCACUUGGUGUGUUCGGGUGGACACAGUACCCUAUCCCCGACCUAGGUGAUUGGUCCGGGGUGGACUGAUAUACCAUCUAUUUUUAGAUAUGAAAAUAGAAAUUCUUAAAAAGUUUAGUCAUCACAAAUAGUAAUAAAUCCAUUGCAUGUAAAUACAAAUAACUUUUUAAAAAGAAAAUAACUAUAUUUUCCAAAAAUGAUUAGUAAGAAGAUAGGCAUUGCUCUGCAUGUUUUCAAAUCUCUUCAACAUUUGGCUUAGUAGAAGACAGCCAGAUUCUCAUAGCUUCAUAGAUUCCAUUAGCCAUUGAAGCAAUGAGGUUACCACAUGUCAACUAACUUCUGGAAGACACCACUGUACGCUUGGCAGAGAAUGAGUGAAAAAGGCAACUAACAUCUUAACAUUAUAAUGAAAGUAGUUUUGACUUUGCAGAACCCCAUGAAGUUCCCAUGUCACACUUUAGGAACCACUGCUCUAGGGAAAUGUAUCCAUUUUUGACUUCACUACUUACUAUUAAGGGCUUAGACUCUAAGAAGUUACAUGUUUUACUGUAGACCUCAUCUGCUAGAUACGUAAAUAUUGUCUGUCUAGUAUAAAAGAUAACUCCACAGGUUAGGAUCUGUCUCUAAUUCAGCAAACAUUUAAAAAUGCUUUUCCUGGUGAAGACAUACAUCCUAUUCCUUUCAUUCUCCUUUGAACCACUUUUGCCUAUUGGUUCUCUGACCAAUGAGUUGAACAUAAUCUUUGACUUAUUUACUCUAUUUGUAUACUUAUGUUUUAAACUUUUGGAACAUGAUAGCUUGACAUGCACUUGGCUAUUUCUGGAGAUUUCACCAAGUUUUCUGUAAGAAAUGGUUAAACUUCUAGCUAGGCUGGCCCUUGUGAAAGUAGAAAGGAGACAACAGGUGAUUUUGCUAAAAGAAACUCGCUCUUCCGCAGCUAGCAAACAUGACUGGAUGAGAUUAAACAAUCAAAGCCCUCUCAGCAUUUAAAAAUCCCAACUCUCAGUCUUGAUCCACAGGAGCAAAGGGUAGAUUCUAAAACCAUGGACGCGAUGGGGAUCGGGAGGAGCCUGAGAACCAGGAGACCCCUGAUCAUCCCCUUCUAAGCCCCUCCUCUUAUGCAUACCCUUCUGGGCAAAAGCAAUCUGGUGGAGUUGCAACAUGCAUGUAUUGGACUGAAUUAUACACGUUCUGUUGGAGAGUGGUGGUGGUGGUGGUAACUAAGAAG